GGUCAAUGAAGAUGAUGCUGGUUAUUGGCACUUAUAUCAGCUUUUGCCAUAUUUUACACAACCCAGAGGUCUGAGGCUAUGGUCCUUCCCCAGCUCCCACCUUUCUGCCUCAUUGAGCUGCAUUUGCCCUGACGAAGCCACGCCAGCAGGUUGCUUGGCAAGGGAGGUUUGCACCUGGUAUGGUGUUGUGCAGGUCAGGAUGCUGCUGGAUGGGGUGGGUUGUUGAGUGAGGGUGGUGAGAAUUGAGCUUGGUUCAUCUUUUGGCUCCUGGAGCUGGUGGGGCUCUAUGGGAAAUGGGCCACCAGAGCUGGGCCUGGAGGUGUUAGCAUGGUAAGCUCCAUAGGGGUGCACUCUCUGGCAUCUUUGCUCUUGGCUCCAACGUCUUUUAAAAGAAGUGAGUGGGUAGUAGAGGGAAAACAGACGCUUUCUCUUGAACCUUCUGACUGAAGGGGCGAUGUUUGACACACCUGAGACCUCACUGCUUCUGAGCAGCACCCUGUUCAAAACGCCCAAGAAAGAGAGAUGCAGGAAGGCCUCCCAUAGAUGCCAGAGAAGGGAGGGGAAUUUCAUUUGCAUUCUCUAGAAAAACAAAUGAAUAAAACCAUCACAGAAGCUGACUGGAUGGACAGACAUGGGAGAUACCUGCUGCUCCAGCUCAGAGUUCUGAGAACUGUAUCUGUGGUUAUUUUCCCUUUAAAUCUCUGGGAGAAAAGCGUCUUUCAAUUGCUCCCCCACCACUGAAAGAAACGACAAGACAAAACAUUCUUCAGAAGCCUUUUCACUCUCCAAAAAAGUUCAGACAGACGGGGAAAAGUAGAAGGCUUUUCCUUUAAACAGCUGGGAGAUGAUGUGAACAGCGAAGGCAAAAACGAUGCUUGCUUUAUCAGCUCAGCUGGCGUGCAGCAGCGGGCUGAUCUACGUGGCGUGUUUGCAGACAGCCCGCAAACACCAGAGGAGCUUUGAUUCUCAUUCACUCCCUCCAACGUGACUCUCUCAGCCGAGCGAUCAAACAGAUACAGGUGUUGGGAGUCGGGCAGAGAGGAGAAAUGACAGCUGAAGGAAAAGCAACAGCGGAGUGCGUGGUGAGAGGGCGAAGCUGCCAUCCCAGCAGGGAAACCGAUGGGCUCGGAGGCUGUGCCAUGGGCAGGGUGCCCAGCAGUGCACACAGUCAGCUGCUGGAAGCACUGCAGGAAGCAAACACGUUGGUGAGAAGGGCACUUUCACACCUAAAGGACGUCUUCUUGGAGCUUCAUCUGUGGAAUCGUCGUUUCUUUUUCUUUCUCCACCCCCCUGCCAGCUGUCCAGUCCAGGGGACACAUCCAUCUUCAUGAGCCCUUUGGAGCUCAGUAAUGUAUUUCAGCAGAAAUCGUUUGUCUUGUGCGCCUGUGUGGGAUGGGAAGGGAAUGGAGUGGGGCUCUGCUCUGCAGGGAGUGCUGGAGGGGGAUAUUCUCCCUCCUGCUUUCUGUUUGCCUUUGGCUUGGCAGCCCUCACCUGUUGCUUUCCUGAAUGUGCAGAGGCCCUCGUGCAGCCCAAGAGCCGAUCCUUUAUGGGGUGGUGCUGUAGAGGCUGUGAGCUUUAGCACGAAAGAAGACUAUUUCAGUCCCCUUUUGAAACAUCAAUGGGUUCUUCUAGCAACCAUGGGGAACAAGGGUGUCCCAAGCCUCAGGUAGGGAGAUCACCUCUUCGUUAGGUCCCCUCAGGUUGGCAUUUGUGAUGUGGUCAGGGAAGCUGUUUUUUUUCUUGAUUCUCCUCCCUCUAGGAAUAACAAGGGAAAAUCCUCGUCGCCAGCUUUUCCAUCUGUGUGUGGAGCUCAUGGAUGUGGAGCAAGGGCCAUCAGCCUGAUGCCCAGCAUAGCAAGGAGGGAAAAGCCCAGCAACGGGAGCCAGAGCUGACCUGGGGAUGAGGGGCUGAGCUUCAUGUCUGUGAGGUGUAACUGUUGAGCUGGGGGAUGGGGGUCACAAAACAGCCUAGGAGCUGGAAGCCUGAAUUCUAUUCAAGUCAACAGAACUUAGAGAAGAUGCUGUCUCCCAUUCCUGUGCAAUCAAGGAGCCAUUUCAUUUAGACCAGGCUCCCAGCAUCUCAGUAGAAGACAAGCUUAUGCCUAUUGGGACCAUGCUGUACAUGGGAAUGUGUGAAGAAGCUGAAGUUGUUCUGUAGAGCUUUUUUUAGGGGAGAGGAUUCUGGGUUCUCUGAGUUGCUGUCCUUUGCCAACAGCUGGACCAUGGGAAACUGCAGCCUCCACUAGAGGCUGAGGGUACAGGAGGCUAGAGGAGAGGGUAGCACUGAUCUGACUUAAAAUUAAAAAAAGAAAAAAAGAGUUGAGCAAAAUUAAUUGCAUUUAAUAUCAAGUUAAGUAGUUCAAUGAAACAGCAUGGAAGUUAAUCACGAUUUUCAUGUUUUAUUUAAUAAACCCCC
ensembl:lncRNA